AUGUAGUGUGACAUGCCCGUUUGGGAUUUACUCUGAUGAAUAUUUAAUUAUUAUUUAAUUGCUUUUGGGUAACGGGGUGUUACACUUUG
rfam:Medicago truncatula strain A17 chromosome 6, whole genome shotgun sequence.